CCAGGAGGCCGGGCAGCCGCGGGUAUGCAAAUACGCGAGGAAAGUCCGGGCUCCACGAAGUAAGGGUGGCGGGUAAUGCCCGCCGUGGGCGACCACAGGGAAAGUGCCACAGAGAGCAAACCGCCGACGUUCCUGCACAGGAGCGGGCAAGGGUGAAAGGGUGCGGUAAGAGCGCACCGGGGGCCUGGUAACAGGACCCGUCAUGGCAAACCCCACCCGGAGCAAGGCCGAAUAGGGACCCCGCGCCAUUCGUGGCAGGAGCGCUUCGCUCUUGAGGGUCCGGGUUGGCUGCUCGAACCGUCUGGCAACAGGCGGUCUAGAUGAAUGGCUGCCACCCGUCGCAAGACGGGUACAGAACCCGGCUUACAGGCCUCCUGGCACC
rnacentral:RNase_P_RNA from 1 species